CUUUAGGGGCUAAAACACUACUAUUUGACAAGCAAUAGCUGUAUAAUCUUAAUGAUGGUCACAAUGAGGGAGGAAAAGUUCUUAUUUUACCAGCGUUAGGUGGGCCAGGGUGCAUUUAUACACUUUAGGGGCUAAAACACUACUAUUUGACAAGCAAUAGCUGUAUAAUCUUAAUGAUGGUCACAGUGAGGGAGGAAAAGUUCUUAUUUUACUAGCGUUAGGUGGACCAGGGUGCGUUGAUAAACUUUAGGGGUGAAAUCAUUACUAUUUUGAUAUACAUUAGCUUUAUAAUCUUGAGGAUGGUCACAGUGAGGGAGGGAAAGUUCUCAUUUUACCAGUGUUAGGUGGACCAGGGUGCGUUGAUACACUUUAUGGGCUAAAUCAUUACUAUUUGGUAAUCCAUAUGUAGCUGUAUAAGCUUGAUGAUAGUCACAGUGAGAGAGGGAAAGUUCUUAUUUUACCAGCGUUACGUGGACCAGGGUGCGUUUAUACACUUUAGGGGCUAAAGCAUUACUAUUUGACAAGCAAUAGCUAUAUAAUCUUGAUGAUUGUCACAGUAA